rnacentral:rRNA from 1 species
AACGUAGGACACAAGCGUUAUCCGGAGUUACUGGGCGUAAAGGGCGCGUAGGCGCCUGUUAAGUCGAACGUGAAAUCCCCGGGCUCAACCCGGGAACUGCGUCCGAUACUGGCAGGCUUGAAUUCGGGAGAGGGAUGUGGAAUUCCCAGUGUAGUGGUGAAAUACGUAGAGAUUGGGAAGAACACCAGUGGCGAAGGCGGCUAUCUGGACGGUUUCUGACGCUAAGACGCGAAAGCGUGGGGAGCAAACAGG